GCCUAGUUAGCUUAUUUGGUAGUGCGUCUGCCUUGUAAGCGCUAGGCCGCGGGUUCGAUUCCCGCACGGGGCG
rnacentral:tRNA from 1 species